ACAACACAUGGCACACAAAGACACCAAUCAACAGGCAAAUUCCAUUUAAAUCAUACCAUAAUUUUAGCAGUGGUGAUAGAUUUCCGGAACUCCGGGUUUUUACUCUGCGUGGUGAAAAUUUCCGGGUUAUUUUUGAGAACAUACGUCAAAAUCCAUUCAUUCAGUUCCACGCCCAAAGAGUUGGUGGCGGUAAUGCUCUGUGUUGGUUUGCAAGCAGUUAAUAAUCUCCAAAGAAGGGUUAGUUUUUUUUGGGGUUAAGGGAGUUUAUUAAGUCAUAUUUUGGGGGACUGCGCUGUGAUUCACCGAACGUUUUACUUUGUUGAAGACAUUAAAAGUUUGCGCUGCAUUUUUUCCCCCCAGUAAUCUUGCAUUAAGUGGAGUUAGCGAGUGAAACUAAAAAUACUAACGCUGUUAGCAUACAAACGACAGUUUAACUCUGUCUGUGAUUCAUAACCACAAGACUGAGUUUGAGCAAUGAAGCUUCUGCAAAUGUGUCUGAGCUCUACCUCAAAAUGCCUACUAGCAUUCAACAUCAGUCUGGAAGCCUUUCAACACCAGAAGCCUUCGUUCCAUCGGUUCCUCUGGGAUGCAACACUCCUGAAUCAAAGACACACAACAACACACAUGACUCUGAGACCUGCAGCCUUAAAGUACCUGGGGGGUGGCAGGACAGAUGCUGUUGACCAAGACUAGAGGAAAGUGAACUCACAGGGGCCUCUGGGAAGUCCAUGCUCUCCGUUUGGAGUGGAGAAUGAACGCUGGACGCAUACUCGUCUAAGAUGUCAGGGUCUGCUACACAAAAACACACAAAAGCAUCGUGAUGUUUGUACAAAAUGACCUCCGUACAUUACUUUCUGUUUUCACCUGAUCUGACCUGCGAUGUGACCUGAGUCCAGGUAAUCCACGGCAUCCUGGUACACAUCCAUCAGACGUUUUGUAGUCACUGAGGACUUGAAACUCUGUAAGUGUCAACACACCCAACUGGUUUUUCAAAACUUCCCCUUUCUCAUCGGGCCGCCUAAAAGGGAAAAAACAACUUCCUCUCUGCUCGACCAAAAGUCAACCGGACCUGACACCUGAAAUAUAACCCCGUUUCACUUUCAACAAAAGUGUAAAAACAUGCAGACUUCUAUUCCAAAGGUGACCACUUUACUACUUAUUUUUUUGUUGUUUUUUUUUAUGAACUGUAUUAUUCUGCAUGAAGUUGCAAAAGGUUAACAUCUUUAUUUAUUGUAAAACUAAAGGAUCAUGAGCAUUUUCAGGAAGCUAACAUAGCGGCUGCUUUAAAAUAAAUAUUAAAAUUUGUAGAAGCAUACACCAUGGGCAGUGAGGUGAUGCAUCCUACAACAAAUAAUCAGAUAUUUAAGAUCUGACUAUGUGCCUGUUACUUUAAAGCACACUGGAACAUCUGUGACAUAUGUCAUGUUAGUUUAAAAUAAGAUGUUUCAGGCCUAAGAUGUAUUUAAAUUGAGAUAGCUUCUACAUACAUAAGUGUAUUAACUGAAGGAUUUGGGGGGAUGUUCAUCAUGAAACCUCAACUGUAUUGAAGUGUAAAAUGUUAAUAACAUUGAGGUUGCAGAAUUUUCACCUUUAAGGUUCACCAAAAGUACACUAAAAAUCCCCUUGUGGCUUUUUCAAAAUCCAAGAUGGCAUUCAAAAUGGCCACCAUUUCACUUAUGUGUUUGAUUCUAAAAAAGAUAAAACCUAAUUUAACUUUCUAAAUGUAUGUAUUAAGGCAUAAUAAACUCUUUACAAUCAUUAUAUAGAAGUUUCGAGAAUUAGAAAUGUCAGAACCUAAGGUGGCAGCCAUAUUGGAAUCUUAAGUGGCUGCCAUUUUUUCCUUCCCACUGUAGUCAAGUGCUUGCUCACAGGGGGUCGUUUUGACCGUUGGGGUUUUACAUAAUUAUUGUAUGGCCUUGCCUUACAAUAUAAAGCGCCUUGGGGCAACUGUUUGUUGUGAUUUGGCGCUAUAUAAAAAACAUUGAUUGAUUGAUUGAUCGUUCACACAUUUUUGCAUCUAGAAAGGUGCGAUACCUGAUUUAAGUAUCUUUAUACAUGUUUUAAGGCAUGAGAAACUACACAGUCACAAACAAGCAAACAAAAAAAUCUUAAUGGCAUAAAAAUGACCAAUAAAUGGGUAAAGCAAAGCAAUCAUGAGAUUGAUA